rnacentral:tRNA from 1 species
GGAGCGGUAGUUCAGUUGGUUAGAAUACCUGCCUGCCACGCAGGGGGUCGCGGGUUCGAGUCCCGUCCGUUCCGCCA